CCUACGGGUGGCAGCAGUCGAGAAUCAUUCACAAUGGGGGCAACCCUGAUGGUGUGACGCCGCGUGGGGGAUUGAAGCUCUUCGGAUUGUAAACCCCUGUCAUGUGGGAGCACAUUAAAAAGAUAGUACCACAUGAGCAAGGGCCGGCUAACUCUGUGCAAGCACCCGCGGUCAUACAGAGGUCUCAAGCGUUGUUCGGACUCACUGGGCGUAAAGGGUGCGUAGGCUGGUUAGUAAGUCGUGUGUGAAAGGCGCGGGCUCAACCCCCGGACGGCACAUGAUACUGCGGGACUGGAGUAAUGGAGAGGGAGCCGGAAUUCUUGGUGUAGCAGUGAAAUGCGUAGAUAUCGGGAGGAACACUCGUGGCGAAGGCGGGUUCCUGGACAUUAACUGACGCUGAGGCGCGAAGGCGAGGGGAGCGAAAGGGAUUAGAUACCCGAGUAGUC
rnacentral:rRNA from 1 species